rnacentral:rRNA from 1 species
AACGAACGCUGGCGGCAGGCUUAACACAUGCAAGUCGAGCGCCCCGCCAGCGGUGCGGCAGACGGGUGAGUAACGCGUGGGAAUCUACCCAUCUCUACGGAAUAACGCAUGGAAACGUGUGCUAAUACCGUAUACCUCCUUCGGGAGAAAGAUUUAUCGGGGAUGGAUCAGCCCGCGUUGGAUUAGCAAGUUGGUGGGGUAAAGGCCUACCAAGGCGACGAGCCAUAGCUGGUCUGAGAGGAUGAUCAGCCACACUGGGACUGAGACACGGCCCAGACUCCUACGGGAGGCAGCAGUGGGGAAUAUUGGACAAUGGGCGCAAGCCUGAUCCAGCCAUGCCGCGUGAGUGAUGAAGGCCCUAGGGUUGUAAAGCUCUUUCACCGGUGAAGAUAAUGACGGUAACCGGAGAAGAAGCCCCGGCUAACUUCGUGCCAGCCGCCGCCGUAACAC